rnacentral:lncRNA from 1 species
AUGCCCAACAACCCUUUCGGUAAAGAAGUUCUUCCUAAUAUCCAACCUAAUCCUCCCCAGGCGCUACUUUCUCCCCAGGCGCUACUCUCCGCCAAAAGAAGCACUCACACAACCCCUGAGAAUCAGCAAGAGCUGUUUAUUGCCGGGACAUCUUGCAGGCAAGCCCGCGGGAUGUCCGUGGUGUUUGGUGGCCCCAAGCUAAUGCUUGAGAUGGAGCCUGAGCAACGAGCAGGCGGCUCGCCAGGCACUCCUGUGCUGCUAGUGGUGCUCUUGGAUGGCAGAGCACAAAGACAUGCCGCAGUAGUCCCCGGCCUGUCCCGGCAGAGGUGGAUCCACUUCCAUCCGUUCCUCCACACCUGGUGGAUCCAGCUCCAUGGGCUCCACGGUGCUGGGCAGAAGGCUAAGCCAGUCCUUGCCUGGGACUGCCCUGCACCUCCCAGCCUGUGCCCCGGGUUUAUUUCUAACACUGUUUUUUGGGCAAUUUCAUUCCAUUCUUUACGGAGAAGAACAGAAGCAAGGUGCAUCUCCAGCCCUAAUUCCCACAUGCGCUUUGUGCUCCGAGUGAAGAAUUUCUUCCUCACAUCACAUCUCAUCUCAAUCUCCCCUCCAUUUGCUCAAAGCCGUUGUUCCUGGUUCCAUGGCUACACUCCCCGACAGAGUCCCUCUCCAGCUUUCUUCUAGGCCCCUUUUAUGGGUAAGGUUAGGUGGCAAAACAGCAGGACCGAGCAAACUGCAGCCUCCUCUACCUGGUUCCACACAUUCCACAUGACGUUUUCCAGCUCAGGCUCUAGCCUCUCACCAGUGUAACACAGAAUCAUGAAGGUUGAAAAAGACCGUCAAGAUCAUCUGCUCCAACCAUCACCCUGCUACCAAUAUCACCCACAAAACCACGUCCUUAUGCACCAGCUCCAACCUUUCCUUGAACCCCCCAGGGACGGUGACGCCAGCACUCUGCAUUUCUGGCAACUUUAUGGUGGCUCCUAAAUGAUGAAAGGUGCUGAAGCUGUUUAGCAUAUUUGACUUGUUUGGUUUUGAGCCUCACAAGAUUGCUUAAAAUGUCACCCGGCAUGGAGUGUUUCAUGUUUAUUUAUGCACCAAAAUUAAUUUGUAAGCAUUGUUUUAGCACCAUUAAGGGCAUGCCACUGUGAAUGCAGAUGCAAGGGACAGGGACAGGGCUGCCUGCCUCUAAUGGUGCUGAAGAAGUCAGAUUGAUCAAGUGCUGAGAAAAAGGCUGUAGGACAAGUACAGAAUCUUUAAGAAAUUUGCAGUAUUGAGAAUAAAUAUACAUUAGCCAUUAAGUUGUUUGUUUGU